UACGAAGGGGGCUAGCGUUGCUCGGAAUCACUGGGCGUAAAGCGCACGUAGGCGGAUUGUUAAGUCAGGGGUGAAAUCCUGGAGCUCAACUCCAGAACUGCCUUUGAUACUGGCGAUCUCGAGUCCAGGAGAGGUGAGUGGAAUUCCGAGUGUAGAGGUGAAAUUCGUAGAUAUUCGGAAGAACACCAGUGGCGAAGGCGGCUCACUGGACUGGUAUUGACGCUGAGGUGCGAAAGCGUGGGGAGCAAACAGGG
rnacentral:rRNA from 1 species